GUGCGUAGGCGGCUGAUUAAGUCAGCGGUGAAAUCUCGAUGCUUAACAUCGAAACUGCCGUUGAAACUGGUUAGCUUGAGUAUAAACGAGGCAGGCGGAAUUCGUAGUGUAGCGGUGAAAUGCAUAGAUAUUACGAAGAACUCCGAUAGCGUAGGCAGCUUGCCAGAUUAUAACUGACGCUCAGGCACGAAAGUGUGGGUAUCAAACAGGAUUAGAUACCCUGGUAGUCCACACAGUAAACGAUGAUUACUCGCUGUUUGCGAUAUACUGUAAGCGGCCAAGCGAAAGCAUUAAGUAAUCCACCUGGGGAGUACGCCGGCAACGGUGAAACUCAAAGGAAUUGACGGGGGCCCGCACAAGCGGAGGAACAUGUGGUUUAAUUCGAUGAUACGCGAGGAACCUUACCCGGGCUCGAACGGCACAGGAAUAUGUAUGAAAGUAUAUAGCUAGCAAUAGUCUGUGUCGAGGUGCUGCAUGGUUGUCGUCAGCUCGUGCCGUGAGGUGUCGGCUUAAGUGCCAUAACGAGCGCAACCCUUAUCGUUAGUUACCAUCAGGUUAUGCUGGGGACUCUAGCGAGACUGCCACCGUAAGGUGUGAGGAAGGUGGGGAUGACGUCAAAUCAGCACGGCCCUUACGUCCGGGGCGACACACGUGUUACAAUGGAUCGGACAGAAGGCAGCUACCUGGCAACAGGAUGCCAAUCCCUAAACCCUCUCCCAGUUCGGAUCGGAGUCUGCAACUCGACUCCGUGAAGCUGGAUUCGCUAGUAAUCGCGCAUCAGCCAUGGCGCGGUGAAUAC
rnacentral:rRNA from 1 species